GAUGAACGCUGGCGGCGUGCCUAAUACAUGCAAGUCGAGCGAACAGACGAGGAGCUUGCUCCUCUGACGUUAGCGGCGGACGGGUGAGUAACACGUGGAUAACCUACCUAUAAGACUGGGAUAACUUCGGGAAACCGGAGCUAAUACCGGAUAAUAUAUUGAACCGCAUGGUUCAAUAGUGAAAGACGGUUUUGCUGUCACUUAUAGAUGGAUCCGCGCCGCAUUAGCUAGUUGGUAAGGUAACGGCUUACCAAGGCAACGAUGCGUAGCCGACCUGAGAGGGUGAACCGCCACACUGGAACUGGGGCACGGUCCAGACUCCUACGGGAGGCAGCCGUAGGGAAUCUUCCGCAAUGGGCGAAAGCCUGACGGGGCAACGCCGGGUGAGUGAUGAAGGUCUUCGGAUCCUAAAACUCUGUUAUUAGGGAAAAACAAAUGUGUAAGUAACUAUGCACGUCUUGACGGUACCUAAUCAGAAAGCCACGGCUAACUACGUG
rnacentral:rRNA from 1 species